rnacentral:rRNA from 1 species
AACGAACGCUGGCGGCAGGCUUAACACAUGCAAGUCGAACGGUAACAGGUCUUCGGAUGCUGACGAGUGGCGAACGGGUGAGUAAUACAUCGGGACGUGCCUAGUAGUGGGGGAUAACUACUCGAAAGAGUGGCUAAUACCGCAUGAGAUCUACGGAUGAAAGCAGGGGAUCGCAAGACCUUGUGCUACUAGAGCGGCCGAUGGCAGAUUAGGUAGUUGGUGGGAUAAAAGCUUACCAAGCCGACGAUCUGUAGCUGGUCUGAGAGGACGAUCAGCCACACUGGGACUGAGACACGGCCCAGACUCCUACGGGAGGCAGCAGUGGGGAAUUUUGGACAAUGGGCGCAAGCCUGAUCCAGCAAUGCCGCGUGCAGGAUGAAGGCCUUCGGGUUGUAAACUGCUUUUGUACGGAACGAAAAGCCCUGGGUUAAUACCCUGGGGUCAUGACGGUACCGUAAGAAUAAGCACCGGCUAACUACGUGCCAGCAGCCGCAGUAACAC